UGUUAUGGAAGCAGCAGCCCUGUACCCUCUAUUACUGUUUUGCUGGAGUUCCCCUUUAGUCUUUCUUAAGGCUUGUUCACAUGAUCGUGGGGCACUUGUGGUGGUGGAGCACAGUAACAAAGAAUGCUUGGACACCACAGGUUACCACUGAUCUUGUGAACGGGCCUUUACAGGGCAGGAAGGGCUGGGGCUGGGAAUACAAUGUUCUCAUACCCUUAAAUAGUAGUACAUGACCUUUCAGAUGCAUUCCUUGGUGUUCCUGGGAUCUUUAUGUGUUUUGUGGAGUGCUUGGGGAGUGAAUGAAGAACACUUGACUUCAGGAGUUGUGUAGGAACAUGUAAAGGAGUGUUGUUCAUUUUGCUGGUCAGGUUCAUAUCAGAAUACUGUUUUGGGUUCAUUCGCCAGUCUACUUGUUUUCUGUGCAAUGAUUCUCAGAGUAAAGGCUGUAGACAAGUGUACUAAAUAUCUGACAAUGAGUGUUGCUCCUUAACAUUUUUUUGAUCAGAGUAAUGUUAAAAAAUGUUCAUAUCUAUUAAAUACUAUUGAUUACUCUGCCAAUUUCCUUUCGGGAGCAUUUUUUCUCUGCUUCCUUUAGUGUGAUAAAAGAAAAAGAAUGGGGAGUUUAGAUGCACAGGAAAUUGAAUCAUAGUGGUAAUAAUGUGCUCAACGGGGUUUUACUCAGAAUUUUCAGGGGAUCUUAUCAAAAUUUCAGGGGAUUCUUUAAAAUUUUCAGGGGAUUCUAUCAAGAUUUCAGGGGAUUCUUUAAAAUUUUCAGGGGAGUCUAUCAAAAUUUCAGGGGAUUCUAUCAAGUUUCAGGGGAUUCUUUAAAAUUUUCAGGGGAGUCUAUCAAAAUUUCAGGGGAGUCUAUCAAAAUUUCAGGGGAGUCUGUCAAGUUUCAGGGGAUUCUAUAAAAUUUUCAGGGGAGUCUAUCAAAAUUUCAGGGGAGUCUAUCAAAAUUUCAGGGGAGUCUGUCAAGUUUCAGGGGAUUCUAUAAAAUUUUCAGGGGAGUCUAUCAAAAUUUCAGGGGAGUCUAUCAAAAUUUCAGGGGAGUCUAUCAAGUUUCAGGGGAUUCUUUAAAAUUUUCAGGGGAGUCUAUCAAAAUUUCAGGGGAGUCUAUCAAAAUUUCAGGGGAUUCUUUAAAAUUUUCAGGGGAUUCUAUAAAAAUUUCAAGGGAUUCUAUCAAGAUUUCAGGGGAUUCUUUAAAAAUUUCAAGGGAUUCUAUCAAGAUUUCAGGGGAUUCUUUAAAAUUUUCAGGGGAUUCUAUAAAAAUUUCAAGGGAUUCUGUCAAGUUUCAGGGGAUUCUUUAAAAUUUUCAGGGGAGUCUUAUCAAAAUUUCAGGGGAUUCUAUCAAAAUGUCCGAGGUACAGUUGUCAUGCAUGAUGGACAAAGACCCACACUUGUAGUCAUUCCUCAUUCCUGUUUACAAGAAAUGGAUAGACAGGAUGAUAAUAAUGAUGAUGAUAAAGAAGAGUACAGUCAUACCUUGGUUUACGAGCUUAACCCGCUCCAAAAUCUUGCGGGGGGGCUUCGUGGUGCAGUGGUUAGCACACUCGGCUCACAACCGAGACAGCCCGGGUUCAAUUCCCAGGUGGAGUAGAAACAUUUGGGCGGCUUUUCCGAUACCCUAUGCCCCUAUCCACCCAGCAGUGAAUGGGUACCAGGUAUUAAUCGGGGGUUGUGUCCCUUCUAUAAUUCCUUCCCCUUCUGUCUCUCUCCGGCAUAUGAUCACAGAUGUUGCACCGACUAAACGAAACUUUCCAACUUUUCCAGAAUUUUGCUCACAAACCAAUAACUCAUUAACCAAAACUGUAGGUAAGUUUGGCGCUGAAAACACAAAGGUCGCACACCGGAGCACAAACACCAUCAGGACGCCUCUCCACCUGAAAUUGACCUCUCUUUUGGCCACUCUUUACUUUUAUCUUUUCUAGGAGCAGCGUAUGGCGGGCUUUUUUUUUUCUACGCUUUUUUCAUGCCCUUGAGCUGCUUCCUUUCCUGUAAAAAAUAAAAAUAAAUAAAAAUCGUAAGUGGACACGAGCGGGCGGGUGCUACCUCUGCGACUGUACAAUGCAGACUGAGGCCCCAUUCCCAUUGUUUUCCACCGUGAGCCACCGUUGCCAGAUUGUCGUACUCAGAGCAUAGUAUUUACCAGUUUCUAACACUUAACUAUUGCCAAGAAACAUCAGGAUCUAACUCUUUUAACGAUAACUUUAAAUGAGUUUCGUUGUUGGAGCCCAGAAGACAUUUUAGGGAUAGGAAGUUGGGAAAUAUAGGCCGUAGACAUUUUCGCUUUUCACAUCAGCUCUUUCUAAAGGUCAAAGAGGGGGUCAGUCGGGUUGUAAUGAGUGUUUCUUCAGGUUCAUGGUACAGAAGAAGGGUCAAACUACCACCAGGGUCAUAAAACUACUCCUGGAAAUGCCCACAACUCCUACGAAAGCCUUGUCAAAUAUGUUCUUCUAGGUUCACGGUACAGAAGAAGGGUCAAACUACCACCAGGGUCAUAAAACUACUCCUGAAAAUGCCCACAACUCCUACGAAAGCCUUGUCAAAUAUGUUCUUCUAGGUUCACGGUACAGAAGAAGGGUCAAACUACCACCAGGGUCAUAAAACUACUCCUGAAAAUGCCCACAACUCCUACGAAAGCCUUGUCAAAUAUGUUCUUCUAGGUUCACGGUACAGAAGAAGGGUCAAACUACCACCAGGGUCAUAAAGCUACUCCUGAAAAUGCCCACAACUCCUACGAAAGCCUUGUCAAAUAUGUGUUCUUGGGCGGCAAAAUGUCUUAAAAUACGACCCCUAAUCAGCUGGGUACGACAAUCUGGCGACGUUGCUGUGAGCACUCUUGUCUUGCGGCAUCUAUGACUUGUAUAAAAAGGAUGCUCGUAUGCCAAGUCACCGCUCGUAAACCAAGACAUUUUUAUUGGUUAACAUCGUGACUUUUAAAAUACACUGUUGCCAUACAUAACCUUUCCAUACCCCAAAAAUUUAUCUGGUAACUAAUCUUUGUCGACCAAUGUAGCAUGUGCGAUUGUUUUCCUUCUACCUUUUCAACAUUCAUUUACCUUUUCGUCCUUAUUUAUCAUAUUUAGAGUUAAUCAGUUUCACAUGUACCUGUUCUCGUAAAUCAAAACACUCGUAAAGCAAGGCACUCGUAAACUGAGAUAUGACUGUGUAGUUAAUAUAAUCCGCCUCAAGUUAAACUGCUCGAAGAUAAUGAAGGGCAAAAUAAUGCAAGUAAGUAGGUUCACCCACCUCACCGACCCCUUGACCAAACUCUUGUAUUCAUAAACCGAGGUAUUACUGUGUAGUUAAUAUAAUCCGUCUCAAGUUAAACUGCUCUAAGAUAAUGAAGGACAAAAAGAUGCAAGUAAGUAGGUUCACCCGCCUCACUGACCCCUCGACCAAACUCUUGUAUUCAUAAACAGAGGUAUUACUGUGUAGUUAAUAUAAUCCGUCUCAAGUUAAACUGCUCUUAAGACAAUGAAGGACAAAAAGAUGCAAGUAAGUAGGUUCACCCGCCUCACCGACCCCUCUUGCGUUCCCUUUAUUCAGUUUUCCUUGGGUUUGGAUGCUCUGUCAUUCAUCCACUUCCUCUAUGCUUGAUCUUUCCUCUCAACAGCCUCCUCAGCCUUAUAGUUUUUCUUUUCCGUUCCUUUCAGUUUCUUACUUCACCGCUACAAACUUAAAUUUCGUCCUUUCGUCCCUUUCCUCUUCUCUGCUUCACAAUCUUAUUUAUGAUCCUUUCCUUCUUUUCCUCUCAUUUCUUCACCUCUACAAUUUUUUCCAUUCCCUGUAUCUCCGUGCAUGUCAAUUAUUCCCUUCCCUUUCCCUCCCUUCUUGCCUUCCUUUCCUUCCUUUCCCUUCCCUUCCCUUCCCUUUCCCUUUCCCUUCCCUUGCCUUCCCUUCCCUUGCCCUCCCUUCCCUUCCCUUCUCUUCUCUUCUCUUCCCUUCCCUUCUUCCCUCUCUCCCUCCUUCCCUUGCCUUUCCCUUCCUAUGCCUCUGUGGUCUAAUGGUUAGCAUGCCUAGCUACAAAUCUGCAGCCCUGGGUUCGAAUCCCGACCUGGGCAGUUGAUGUGCAGUCCACCCAGCUGUUCAUCCUCCCUUUCUGACUGGUCGAUAAAUGGGCACCUGGGGAAACCUGGGGAAGGUAAACUGUGGUAACCCGGAUGUCACACUGGCCCUGUGUCCCGGGGCGAUGGGUUCUUAUACACUACAGGCUCAAGGGUCAACGCGACAAAGAUGAGCACUGAGGCCAUGCGCAGCUAUAGCGUAUGCCCCCAACUUUACCUUGCCCUAUAUUAACCCGUCCACUGCGAUUGGCACGGAUUUGGCCUUCACUGGUAUCCUGGUAACACAUACUCCCAGGUCUUUCUCUGCCUCUGUGGUGGAUAGUGGAGUGUUUCCCAUGUGGUAUUGGUGUGCUGGAUAUCCUCUACAUUUUUCUUUAUUGAAUUGUAGCAGCCACUUUUUCCUCCAUUCCUGUAGCUUGGUGAUGUCUUCUUGUAGGAAAUCCACAGUCAAGGUGUUAAUGUUCCUUGUGUUAAGAUCUUACAUUCAUUCAUGUCGUUUAUAAGUUAUGAUCCUCACCAUACCUUCCAAACAUCCCUAUGCCUUUUCUCUUCUUUGCUUUAUCUCAUGUAGUGGCAUUUCUACCCAAGCAAAAGUUAGUCUGGGGUGAGUCCGGGGUCAACAUUCGGCCCCACCAAGAAAACCUACCGACACUGUUGGCCGAAACGUAAAUAAUAAAUAAGUAAAUAAGUAAAUAAAAAUGACAAAGAAGAAAAAAUGAGACUGUUUUGCUGCUAUCUCUCCAUCUGGUUUGUAUGUCUUCAUGAUGUGUGAGUCUUUUCUCUGGUUUCCUUUUGUCUGUGCGCGUAAAAGUAAAAUCUCCCGACUGAUUUAUUUGAGAAGUAUAGUGAGUUGUUUUUAGUUGGGAUGAUAUUUUUACAGGACGUUACAAUAGCCGGUUGCAUGAGAGCUGGCGGCCCUAAUCCUUCAGGGGUGGACUCGCGGACUUGGCAUCAUUGCUUGGGUGAUGGACCUUUUUUUUCAGCGCUAGCUCUAACCUUCCAUGACAGAGCCUACAAUCUCUCACUCUCUGCUACCUCUUUAACCCAGUAGCAGCGACAGGCCAAGUUUGUUGCUUUACCGUGUAGCAAUGACAGGCCAAAUUUGUGGCUUUACCGUGUAGCAGCGACGGGCCAAAUUUGUAGCUUUACCAUGUAGCAGCGAUGUGCCAAAUUUGUGGCUUUAUUGUGUAGCAGCAACAGUGACGGGACAAAUUUGUAGCUUUAACAUGUAGCAACGAUGGGCCAAAUUUGUGGCUUUACUGUGUAGCAGCAACAGUGACGGGACAAAUUUGUGGCUUUACCGUGUAGCAGCGACGGGCCAAAUUUGUGGCUUUACCGUGUACCAGUGACGGGCCAAAGUUUUGCCAUGAUACAAACCCCCCAGAAUAUAUGAUGUAUAAACUGAUCACAAAUGCGUUGAUCUAUAUUAUGAAAUGUUUUGCGUGAGUGAUGAUUUUUUCUCAUUUUUCUCGCUUAGAGGGACCUUUAAGAAACAAGAUCCCCGCAGCUACCGGGUUGAAUCAGUACCGUCACACAAGCAAUGAUACCAAUUCCGCAAGUCCGCCCCUGAAGGAUUAGGCCCACCAGCUCUCGUGAAACCAACUGCAGUGCUGAUAUUUUUUUAUUUAUUUAUUUAUUUAUUUAUUUUUUUUUUACAACAAAGGAGACAGCUCAGGGGCACAAAAAAAGGAAAUAAUAAUAGAAGAAAGAAAAGCCUGCUACUCGCUGCUCCUAAAAAGAAUCCAAAGAGGUGGCCGAAAGAGGGUCAGUUUCAGGAAGAGAGGUGUCCUGAUACCCUCCUCCCUCUUCUGCUACUGUUAGGACCAUUUCUACUACUGAUACUCUUCCUAUUAUUACUAUUACUCCAACUAUUACAAUACUUUUACUACUACUACUAUUACUACUACUACUAAUUCUAAUACCACUGCUGUUAUUGCUACUAUUACUAUUCUAGAACUUAAAUUUCUUCCUCAGUCACAAACAUAAUCUCGGAGGCUUGCCUGUCACAAAUGGCUUUUACAAGACUAUUAUGUAGCAUUUUCAUCUUCAUAAAAUAAGUAUGGAAAGUCUUUUUGCAGCAUAUGAAACAGUAUGUGAAGAGUAAAUACUGAGCCUUUAUUUCCAUACAUGUUCUGAAAAACUUACACAUACCAUAUCAGUGUUUUGCAGAUAUAGAUACAUCCUCUAUUCCAUCAGUGUUUUGCCAAGCAGAUAUUUAAUACACUUUGUGACGCUGGACUCCUUCUGUUUACCACCUGUUUAACAUGUCAUUGU